CCCUUCCUUUCUGGUGCAGGGUGUGAAUGAGUAUGAAUAUGAAAGAUGGAGUCAGUACAAAGCGUUUCAUAACACCCCUGAUGCUGAUAGAGAGUAUGUGCUGUACUGGGAAAAGAUGGUCAAGGAAAUGAAGUGGCUUGAAAAUCAUGUGCUUAAAGAUUUUCUGGAGUGGGAGCCAAUGCGCCGUAAAGGUUUGUACCAAUCAAUUAAGAUUGCCAAUAGGUUCACCAACAUUCAUUUGG